rnacentral:pre_miRNA from 1 species
AUUCUACUCCCUCCGUUGCACAAUACUACAUGCCUUCUAUUUGUCAAAAUAUAUAUGUAUCUAGACAUGUCUUAGUAUAUAGGUACAUCCAUUUUUGGACAAAUGGAAGUCAAGUAUUUUGCAAGGGAGGGAGUACACA